GACGAACGCUGGCGGCGUGCUUAACACAUGCAAGUCGAACGCUGAAGCUUGGUGCUUGCACUGGGUGGAUGAGUGGCGAACGGGUGAGUAAUACGUGAGUAACCUGCCCUUGACUCUGGGAUAAGCCUGGGAAACUGGGUCUAAUACUGGAUACGACAUGUCACCGCAUGGUGGUGUGUGGAAAGGGUUUUACUGGUUUUGGAUGGGCUCACGGCCUAUCAGCUUGUUGGUGGGGUAAUGGCUCACCAAGGCGACGACGGGUAGCCGGCCUGAGGGUGACCGGCCACACUGGGACUGAGACACGGCCCAGACUCCUACGGGAGGCAGCAGUGGGGAAUAUUGCACAAUGGGCGGAAGCCUGAUGCAGCGACGCCGCGUGAGGGAUGACGGCCUUCGGGUUGUAAACCUCUUUCAGCACGGAAGAAGCGAAAGUGACGGUACGUGCAGAAGAAGCGCCGGCUAACUACGUG
rnacentral:rRNA from 1 species